UGAAUUAUAGCUCAAUGGUUAGAGCGGAUCACUCAUAAUGAUUAGAUAUUGGUUCAAUUCCAAUUAAUUCAA
rnacentral:tRNA from 1 species